AACGAACGCUGGCGGCAGGCUUAACACAUGCAAGUCGAACGGAUCCUUCGGGAUUAGUAGCAGACGGGUGAGUAACGCGUGGGAACGUACCCUUUGCUACGGAAUAACUCAGGGAAACUUGAGCUAAUACCGUAUGUGCCCUACGGGGGAAAGAUUUAUCGGCAAAGGAUCGGCCCGCGUUGGAUUAGCUAGUUGGUGGGGUAAUGGCCUACCAAGGCGACGAUCCAUAGCUGGUCUGAGAGGAUGAUCAGCCACACUGGGACUGAGACACGGCCCAGACUCCUACGGGAGGCAGCAGUGGGGAAUAUUGGACAAUGGGCGCAAGCCUGAUCCAGCCAUGCCGCGUGAGUGAUGAAGGUCUUAGGACUGUAAAGCUCUUUCACCGGUGAAGAUAAUGACGGUAGCCGGAGAAGAAGCCCCGGCUAACUUCGUG
rnacentral:rRNA from 1 species